rnacentral:rRNA from 1 species
GAUCCUGGCUCAGAUUGAACGCUGGCGGCGUGCUUAACACAUGCAAGUCGCGCGUGAAAGGACUUCGGUCCGAGUAAAGCGGCGCACGGGUGAGUAACGCGUGGAUGAUCUACCCAGUGAGUUAGGAAUAACGGCUGGAAACGGUCGCUAAUACCAAAUACGCUCCGAUUUCAACUUCGGGGGAAAGGUGGCCUCUGCUUGCAAGCUACUGCUCAUGGAUGAGUCCGCGUCCCAUUAGCUAGUUGGUGGGGUAACGGCCCACCAAGGCGACGAUGGGUAGCCGGUCUGAGAGGAUGACCGGCCACACUGGGACUGGAACACGGCCCAGACUCCUACGGGAGGCAGCAGUGGGGAAUAUUGCGCAAUGGGCGAAAGCCUGACGCAGCGACGCCGCGUGAGGGGAAUGAAGGUCCUCGGAUCGUAAACCUCUGUCAGGAGGGAAGAACCGCCACGGUGCUAAUCAGCCGUGGUCUGACGGUACCUCCAAAGGAAGCACCGGCUAACUCCGUGCCAGCCGCCGC